AUACGUAGGGGGCGAGCGUUGUCCGGAAUUACUGGGCGUAAAGGGCGCGUAGGCGGCCCAAUAAGUCAGAUGUGAAAAACCUGGGCUUAACCGAGGUCUUGCAUUUGAAACUGUUGGGCUUGAGGACAGGAGAGGAAAGCGGAAUUCCCAGUGUAGCGGUGAAAUGCGUAGAUAUUGGGAGGAACACCAGUGGCGAAGGCGGCUUUCUGGACUGCACCUGACGCUGAGGCGCGAAAGCCAGGGGAGCGAACGGGAUUAGAUACCCCGGUAGUCCUGGCCGUAAACGAUGGAUACUAGGUGUGGGAGGUAUCGACCCCUUCCGUGCCGUAGCCAACGCACUAAGUAUCCCGCCUGGGGAGUACGGCCGCAAGGCUGAA
rnacentral:rRNA from 1 species